rnacentral:rRNA from 1 species
AGGGUGCAGGGCGGAUGCCUUGGCACUAGGAGCCGAUGAAGGACGUGAUAAGCUGCGAUAAGCUUCGGGGAGUUGCACGUAAACUUUGAUCCGAAGAUUUCCGAAUGAGGAAACUCACUUAGAGUAAUGUCUAAGUAUCAUUAAGUGAAUACAUAGCUUAAUGAGGGGAACUCAGGGAACUGAAACAUCUAAGUACCUGAAGGAAGAGAAAGAAAUUCGAUUCCGUAAGUAGCGGCGAGCGAACGCGGAUUAGCCCAAACCAAUAAAGUUUUCUUUAUUGGGGUUGCGGACAUAUCAUAACGAAGAGGUAUCGUAAUUGAAGAGGUUUGGAAAGACCCACCACAGAAGGUAAUAGUCCUGUAUGUUAAACGAGAAGACUUUAGAUAUGAUCCAGAGUACCACGGGACACGUGAAACCCUGUGGGAAGCAGGAGGGACCACCCUCCAAGGCUAAAUACUACCUAGUGACCGAUAGCGUAUAGUACCGUGAGGGAAAGGUGAAAAGAACCCCGGGAGGGGAGUGAAAUAGAACCUGAAACCCUGCACUUACAAGCUGUGGAAGCACAUUUCUUGUGUGACCGCGUACUUUUUGUAGAACGGGCCAACGAGUUACGUUAAGUAGCAAGGUUAAGCACUUAAGGUGUGGAGCCGUAGCGAAAGCGAGUUUUAACUGAGCGUUCAGUUACUUGACGUAGACCCGAAACCGGGCGACCUACCCAUGAGCAGGAUGAAGCGAAAGUAAAAUUUCGUGGAGGUCCGAACCCACGAGCGUUGAAAAGCUCGGGGAUGACUUGUGGGUAGCGGUGAAAUUCCAAUCGAGCCCGGAGAUAGCUGGUUCUCCCCGAAAUAGCUUUAGGGCUAGCCUCAAGGUGAGAGAUACGGAGGUAGAGCACUGAAUGUCCUAGGGGGUAUUGCACCUACCGAAGACUAUCAAACUCCGAAUGCCGUCAUCUUAUACUUGGGAGUCAGACUGUGGGUGAUAAGAUUCAUAGUCGAAAGGGCAACAGCCCAGAUCGUCAGCUAAGGUCCCUAAAUGUAAGUUAAGUGGUAAAGGAUGUGGGAUUGCACAGACAACCAGGAUGUUGGCUUAGAAGCAGCCACUCAUUCAAAGAGUGCGUAAUAGCUCACUGGUCGAGUGAUCCUGCGCCGAAGAUUUCCGGGGCUAAAACUUACUACCGAAGCUACGGCAUCAGUAAUGAUGGGUAGGGGAGCUUCCCAUACGGGUUGAAGCAUGACCGUAAGGACAUGUGGACAGUAUGGGAGUGAGAAUGUUGGCAUGAGUAGCGAGAUGUGGGUGAGAAUCCCACAGGCCGUAAACCCAAGGUUUCCAGGGGAAGGUUCGUCCGCCCUGGGUUAGUCGGGACCUAAGCUGAGGCCGAAAGGCGUAGGUGAUGGACAACAGGUUGAUAUUCCUGUACUACCGAUAACCGUUUGAGAGAAGGGAUGACACAGUAGGAUAAGCUAAGCACACUGUUGGUUAUGUGUGCCCAAGCAUUGAGGCAGUCAAAGUAGGCAAAUCCGCUUUGAUAAUGCUGGGAUGUGAUGGGGAGCGAAAUUUAGUAGCGAAGUAGCUGAUUUCACACUGUCAAGAAAAGUCUCUAUCGAGGUUAAAGGUACCCGUACCGCAAACCGACACAGGUGGGUGAGGAGAGUAUCCUAAGGCCAGCGAGAGAACUGUUGUUAAGGAACUCGGCAAAAUGACCCCGUAACUUAGGGAUAAGGGGUGCCACCAUCAGGUGGCCGCAGAGAAUAGGCCCAAGCGACUGUUUACCAAAAACAUAGGUUUCUGCUAAGUCGCAAGACGAUGUAUAGGAGCUGACGCCUGCCCGGUGCUGGAAGGUUAAGGGGAUCUGUUAGAGCAAUCGAAGCAGUGAACUUAAGCCCCAGUAAACGGCGGCCGUAACUAUAACGGUCCUAAGGUAGCGAAAUUCCUUGUCGGGUAAGUUCCGACCCGCACGAAAGGCGUAACGAUUUGGGCACUGUCUCAACAACAGACUCGGUGAAAUUGUAAUUCCGGUGAAGAUGCCGGAUACCUGCGACAGGACGGAAAGACCCCAUGGAGCUUUACUGUAGCUUGACAUUGGGUCUUGGUACUACAUGUACAGGAUAGGUGGGAGGCUUUGAAACCAGGACGCCAGUUUUGGCGGAGCCAUCCUUGGGAUACCACCCUUGUAGUACUGGGACUCUAACCAUAGGCCAUGAAUCUGGUCUUGGGACACUGUCAGGUGGGCAGUUUGACUGGGGCGGUCGCCUCCCAAAAGGUAACGGAGGCGCUCAAAGGUUCUCUCAGUACGGUCGGAAAU